CACGUAGGGCGCAAGCGUUGUCCGGAAUUAUUGGGCGUAAAGAGCUCGUAGGCGGUCUGUUGCGUCCGCUGUGAAAACCCGGGGCUUAACCCUGGGCUGGCAGUGGAUACGGACAGACUAGAGGUAGGUAGGGGAGAAUGGAAUUCCCGGUGUAGUGGUGAAAUGCGCAGAUAUCAGGAGGAACACCAAUGGCGAAGGCAGCUCACUGGGACGGUAUUGACGCUGAGACGCGAAAGCGUGGGGAGCAAACAGG
rnacentral:rRNA from 1 species